rnacentral:sRNA from 1 species
GCCAGGCACAGCGGUGCAGGCCUGUAAUCCCAGCGGCUCAGGAGGCUGAGGCAGGAGGAUCAUGAGUUCAGAAGACAGCCUCAGCAAAAGUGAGGCACUAAGCAACUCAGUGAGACCCUGUCUCUA